CGGCCGCGUCGACGGGCGUGCUUAACACAUGGCAAGGUCGAACGAUGAAGCCCAGCUUGCUGGGUGGAUUAGUGGCGAACGGGUGAGUAACACGUGAGUAACCUGCCCUUCACUUCGGGAUAACUCCGGGAAACCGGGGCUAAUACUGGAUACGACCAACCUUCGCAUGGGGUGUUGGUGGAAAGCUUUUGUGGUGAAGGAUGGACUCGCGGCCUAUCAGCUUGUUGGUGAGGUAAUGGCUCACCAAGGCGACGACGGGUAGCCGGCCUGAGAGGGCGACCGGCCACACUGGGACUGAGACACGGCCCAGACUCCUACGGGAGGCAGCAGUGGGGAAUAUUGCACAAUGGGCGAAAGCCUGAUGCAGCGACGCCGCGUGAGGGAUGAAGGCCUUCGGGUUGUAAACCUCUUUCAGCAGGGAAGAAGCGAAAGUGACGGUACCUGCAGAAGAACGCACCGGUCUAACUACGUGCCAGCGAGCCGCGGUAACUACGGUAGGGUGCGAGUCGUUGUACCGGUAAUUAGUUGGGCGUAAAGAGUCGUUGUAGGUUGGUUGUCGUCCG
rnacentral:rRNA from 1 species